rnacentral:tRNA from 1 species
GGCGGUGUGAUGCAAUUGGCGAGACAUAUCGGACUCAAAAUCCGACACAUCAGAAACAUUGGGAGUUCGAAGCUCCCCACCGCUACCA